GAAAAUGUCUAAUGUUCCAAUACUCUUCGAUGGCACAAAAGGCUAAAUGAGCAAAUGGACAGUGGAAUAGCUCUUUAUUUUAUUCUUUAUAAAACAAUUUCACGAAAAAUUUAUUCGUAAACAACAGCCCUAUGCUCUCUAAAAUGUCAGUGUCUUAAGGACAACCACCUGUAUUUAAAAUAUUUUCCUUUAGUCAUUAUUAAUGGGUAAAUGGAGAAGUAGGAGAUUGAAGAGCUCAAGCUGUAAACAAAGCAGUGUUUGGAAAGACUUCUAAAAUAUGAUCCUCUUCAGUCUUCUAGAAAAGAACAAGGAGGGACAGUGAAGGAGGAGAAGAAGAAUGAGAGAAGACAGAGCAGGAAGAAAAGAAAGAGGAAAGAAAGGGAGAAAGAAAAGAGGUAGGGAUUUUACCCUGGCCUUCAAAUACUGGUGGUCUGGAGGAAAACGAAUGAAAUGACAGCCUAAUAUCAAGGGGGCUGGCUACUUUAAUUCAGAAUA